rnacentral:tRNA from 1 species
GCCCUAAUAGUAUAAUCAUUAUUAUGGUCUUGUAAACCAUAGAUGGAGUCACCAACUCCUUAGGGCU